ACAAAUCAAAAUUGAGAUAGAAAUAAGAUUAUUUAGAAGUUUGAGUUAAUCCAGUCUACAGAUCCUCUUGCAGACAUGAGUUGACUUGUAUCUAGAUUAUCACUAGAACAUAAUCAUUUCAAAUUACAGGCUACAUGCUACCUAUAGAAAUUAUCAAGGCACACAAUUAUCAGCAAUAUUCUUUCAGAACAAUGAAUAUAGCUUACUCAAUAGAAACCAAUCUCAUGGCCAUCUCCUUUAUCCCAGUUGCUUGAUGUUUGGCAACUCCAUUUCCAGCUUGCAAGUUCAAGAAUAUCUCUGCAUUUUGGCUGGAUAUGAUGCAUGCUUUGGAAGCAUUCUCUGCAUAUUAUGCAGGGAUGAGAAAAUGUAUUAAUAUUCGUGGUAAGCGAUAUCACAGAAAAGAAUUUCACGACACUUGUAUCAAUAAUCGUAAACUACAGAAACUACAAGCCUGUUUAUCUCAAGAAGGCAGUACAUUAUAACAUGUCAAUAUUAUCUCUUAAAGGACAGUUUCAAGCAUAUUGGCAAUAUAUCCCAUAUGAAUACAGUCUAAGCUUAGCAAGUGUAAAAGGUAAAAUACCAUAAUCACACAAAAAAAAAAUAUGGAAAAUGCAGCUGGAAAAUUGUCUGCCAGCAGAUGGCGCAAGAUUGCUGUUUGCCCUGCAUCCCAAUAAAAUUGCAUCAGCAAUGAGAGACUCUUGAGGCACAUAGACAGUGAUAACAGGUUGAAUUCGAAAGAUGAAUACAGAAUUUCUGAGACCAAGAGGCCCUCAAUAUGAUACCUGGCUCAUCCUAUAAAAGGGCAGAAAGUAUCAAAUCGGCUUUGGCCACCAUUUGCCAGCCUAAGAGUGAGUUUGUUUGGUACAAUAUGUUUAGCUCUAGCACAAAAGUAAUGCAGAAUUCGUCAGUGUCACAAAGAUACUACUUAUUUAUCACAAACAAGCCACAAAUUGGUAAUUCUUUAUAAUCUUGGUAACAAAAUGAUUUUGUUAAGUUUAUCAAGUACUUCUGGAAUCAAAAUAAGCCUAUUUUGUUCUAGUAUGAAAAAACCACCUAAAGGUGGAAACAUAAAUUGUAUUACAAUGUACAUGAAAUCAGUUUCUAUUCACCUAAAACAGAAUUGGACUACAAAUGAAUAAUGGUUUGCAAAAUCCUGUGAAGUUGGUCAGUUUAGAUUUAUGUCAAGACCUCGAGUUGAAAUUACCUACGCCUCAUAGCUGAGUAUCUUUACUAGAGAAAGGGUAGCCUUCUCCCAAUUCAACCCUUAGCAUGCAGAUAGACACGAGUCCAAUUAAUGUACCAAAUCUCACUAUAAUUUAGUAUUGAUGCAAGUCAUUGAUUAUGUCAAAUUCAAGCUAUUUUUUUAUAAGAACUUUUAUCAUAAAUUUUGCUUUAAAAAUUGGACUCUUAUUUUGGACGACUGGAGUACCAUAAUAUAUAAGCAACUUGUACUAGACAGAACUAGAAGUGCUAUUUCCUUGUAAAAGUAUCGUCUACUAGAAAAAAUGAAUUUUCAACCAAGAUGUGGUUGCUACGCUGAAGCGAAAAUGAUAAAAGAGAAAAAGUGUCAUUUUAAAGCGAUACUUAAAUUAAUAUAGACAUUUUAGCUCCAUUCAUUUCACUGGUUUUGUAAAAAUGACAAACAAUAUGAUCCUCAAGAAAAGGCAUAACACUCAAUUUGGGGGGUAUUACUAUUACCUACACACUUUUAGGAGUUGAAAGAAUGAAAUGCUGAUCUCUUGUUAAUGUAUAUAUUUAUAUUCUCUAGUCUUGUUCCCUCUACCAAUAAAAUCUUAUUGUCCUCUCUAAAUACUAAUCAUGUAUUUCCUGAUGUAUCAGAAAUGCAUAAUAAAGAAUGGAACCAUAGCAAUAAAUUAAGUUAUUAAAAUAAUUAACAUAAGCAAAUUUGAACACAAUAAAUGAGAUUCCUAACAAAGUCACAAAAAUAUCAUUCACAUUAAUUCAUGUAUGCAAAUAUCGUCACAUUAAGAAAGUUUUUAAUGGAAAAGGGAAGGAAAAUAUAAGUAGAAGCAAAAUUAAAUCUGGAAAUGUAAAUAAGCACACCUAAAAAUUAACAAGCCUUUUAUCCGAGAGUCAUUAUGGUGGUACCUAAAUAGUAUAAUCAAUGCGAGAGCAAGGUAGUAUUGUGUUGAUUGGGUUAGAUAUCAAAUUAAUUGUGCAAGUCCAUAAAAAUGUCCGAGUGCACUUGCCAAGUUUCAAAAUCAGUACUCGAAUUUUGGGACUGGUGAGAUUUUUUGAAACUAAUAAUAGAGAGAUAAAAGCGCAAGUCAACAGAAAAAAACAAAAUCAAAUUAAUUUAUCCACCUGUUCUAUCAUCUAUGUCUUCUGAAUCCCAAGUGUUUUCCUCAGAAUUUGCUUGUAGAUCUAGUUAAAGUCUCCUUUAAUGGUGUCGAUGAGAAUAGCUCUCUCCUGAAUUCUGUUUGAAGAAACUUCUCUAUAUGUAUGUAUGUAUAUAAGGGUGAUUUUUUCUGUUCUUCCUUUUCAGCAAACACGGGAUCAAAAGCAAGACUAGAAGCCUAAAGGUACCAAUGCAUAGAAUGAAAGUUAUUUUUACAUAAUGAAUAUGUUUUUUUUAUUACUUAUCAAUAAUAUAUAUUCUACUCUUAUUUUCAUUUAUUUAUUUUAUUCUUUUAUCAAUAUUACUUGGGGAAUCACCGUAUAACUAUGACCAAACACAUAACUCAACGAAAAAUUAAAGUAAAAAACAUAAAAUUUACAUGGAAAAACCAUGGGCGAGAGGAAGAUACUAUAUCAAAGUGUGAAGAAUACAAUCUUUGAAGAGAACUUUCACACCUCUAAAGGAGGCUACAAAUCUGAGAAAGAAAAGAACACAAAAACCCUAACUAGAAUAACAUAUAUAUAGUUGGGCCAAAAUAACUUAAUAGGUACAUAC
rnacentral:lncRNA from 1 species